UUUUGAAUGAGCAUAGCUCCGUCAGUAGAGCAUGAGAUUUUAAAUCUCAGGGUCGCAGGUUUGAGCACCAUGCUGGGGAAA